rnacentral:rRNA from 1 species
AUUGAACGCUGGCGGCAGGCCUAACACAUGCAAGUCGAACGAGAGGCGGACGGGUGAGUAAUGUCUGGGAAACUGCCUGAUGGAGGGGGAUAACUACUGGAAACGGUAGCUAAUACCGCAUACCAUCAGAUGUGCCCAGAUGGGAUUAUCUUGUUGGUGGGGUAAAGGCACACCAAGGCGAGGAUCCCUAGCUGGUCCGAGAGGAUGACCAGCCACACUGGAACUGAGACACGGUCCAGACUCCUACGUGAGGCAGCAGUGGGGAAUAUUGCACAAUGGGCGCAAGCCUGAUGCAGCCAUGCCGCUUGUAUGAAGAAGGCCUUCGGGUUGUAAAGUACUUUCAGCGGGGAGGCGUUACCCGCAGAAGAAGCACCGGCUAACGCCGUGCCAGCAGCCGCGGUAAUAC